AUUGGCACCCUUUUGUUUUCUCCGGCUGUUUUUGGCAAUGGUAGAACUCACACUGGUGAGGUAUCAGGAUCCGGUGGUUCUAGACUUGCCAACUACGGCCCGAGGGUCAAGGCGGACCUACGACG
rnacentral:pre_miRNA from 11 species